rnacentral:lncRNA from 1 species
AAAUAUAACAUCUGAGUUGAAUUUGUUACAUUACAAUUAAUUUCACUGUAACACUGACUUUCACAGGACAGCAGAACACUACCCAGAACGGGACACCCACUGCCAGUCCAAGAGGUAGACUGUUCCUGUUACUCCCAGUCAGCAUGGUAGCUGUGAUUCUACUGGGAACGGCAUCCUGCAAACACAGGAAGAAGUCAGACUCC